rnacentral:rRNA from 1 species
UACGUAGGGUGCGAGCGUUGUCCGGAAUUAUUGGGCGUAAAGAGCUCGUAGGCGGUUCGUCGCGUCGGCUGUGAAAACCUGAGGCUCAACCUCAGGCCUGCAGUCGAUACGGGCGGACUUGAGUACUGCAGGGGAGACUGGAAUUCCUGGUGUAGCGGUGAAAUGCGCAGAUAUCAGGAGGAACACCGGUGGCGAAGGCGGGUCUCUGGGCAGUAACUGACGCUGAGGAGCGAAAGCGCGGGGAGCGAACAGG